CUACGGGUGGCACCAGUGAGGAAUCUUGCGCAAUGGGGGCAACCCUGACGCAGCAACGCCGCGUGAGUGAAGAAGGCCUUCGGGUCGUAAAGCUCUGUCAAGUGGGAAGAAUAGCCUUAAGACGAAUAAUCUUGAGGUAUGACGGUACCACUGGAGGAAGCACCGGCUAACUCCGUGCCAGCAGCCGCGGUAAUACGGAGGGUGCAAGCGUUAUUCGGAAUUAUUGGGCGUAAAGGGCGUGUAGGCGGCCAGACAAGUCAGGGGUGAAAGCCCGGGGCUCAACCCCGGAAGUGCCUUUGAAACUGUUUGGCUUGAGUGCGGGAGAGGAAAGCGGAAUUCCCAGUGUAGAGGUGAAAUUCGUAGAUAUUGGGAGGAACACCGGUGGCGAAGGCGGCUUUCUGGACCGACACUGACGCUGAGGCGCGAAAGCGUGGGGAGCAAACAGGAUUAGAUACCCGAGUAGUC
rnacentral:rRNA from 1 species